GCAUAUCAAUAAGCGGAGGAAAAGAAACUAACAAGGAUUCCCCUAGUAACGGCGAGUGAAGUGGGAAAAGCUCAACUUUGUAAUCUGGCUGUCUUUGGCAGUCCGAGUUGUAGUCUAGAGAAGUGUUAUCCGCGCAGACCCUUAUAGAUUUCGGUUGGAAUGCCAAGUCAAAGAGGGUGAGAAUCCCGUAUUUGAUAAGGUGGUCUUGUGCAUUGUGAUACGCUUUCAAAGAGUCGAGUUGUUUGGGAAUGCAGCUCAAAGUGGGUGGUAAAUUCCAUCUAAAGCUAAAUAUUGGCGAGAGACCGAUAGCGAACAAGUACCGUGAGGGAAAGAUGAAAAGCACUUUGGAAAGAGAAUGAAAUAGUACCUGAAAUUGCUGAAAGGGAAACGAGUGAAGUUAGACUUGCGCAGUUGGUAUUCAGCCUUGGCUUCGGUCUUGGUGCAUUUGCCUUCUAUUGCAGGCCAACAUCAGUUUACUUUGCGGUAAAAGGGUUUAGGGAAUGUGGCUUUUUCGGGAGUGUUAUAGCCCUUUACUGGAUGCCGAAUAGUAGACUGAGGAACGCAGCGCGCCUUUCGGGGCAAAGCUUUCAAGCUUCGAGCGCUUAGGAUGUUGGUAGAAUAGCUUUACACGACCCGUCUUGAAACACGGACCAAGGAGUCUAACAUGCUUGCGAGUGUUUGGGUGUCAAACCCGAGCGCGGAAUGAAAGUGAAUGCAGGUGGGAUCCGUAACAGGUGCACCAUCGACCGAUCUGGAUAUUUAUUGAUGGAUUUGAGUAAGAGCAUGUAUGUUGGGACCCGAAAGAUGGUGAACUAUGCCUGAAUAGGGUGAAGCCAGAGGAAACUCUGGUGGAGGCUCGUAGCGGUUCUGACGUGCAAAUCGAUCGUCAAAUUUGGGUAUAGGGGCGAAAGACUAAUCGAACCAUCUAGUAGCUGGUUCCUGCCGAAGUU
rnacentral:rRNA from 1 species